rnacentral:lncRNA from 1 species
AGUUAGUCUACUUGCUUCAGGAAAGAUUUUUUUAAUUUUCGUUGGAUGUCUUACAUCCAAUGAUUAGAAAAUUAACUAAGAUAAGUAAGAUAUUGGAAUGUCAAAUGGUUAAAUUUACAUGAUAUAAGUAAUAAACUGUUGAAACAGUGCUAGUUUAAUGAAAAUGUUGAAGUUUAUACACUUUUUCACAUGUAGAACAUACAAAAUAUUUCAAAUUGCUUAGAUCAUGACUUUGGGUGCAGGGCUAAAUGUUCCCCAAGAGAGGUGCCAAGGGUGAUAUGAUUUAAUUAGCCUCUUAAUAAAAUUGACAUACAAUUAGUUGUCAAAUUAAACUGACCUAUUCAUAUAUUUUAACUCAUCAAAUAUAGACAAGUUUCAAAGUCAAUGGACAAUGACUGAGAGGGACAGGUCCAAAUAAUGAUAUGUGCCUUUGGUACAUGCAAUUAAAACUGCCUACAGAAUUACAUUGUCCUAGCAUCAGUGGUUCCUUUAAACAUUAUGUUAUCAAAAAUGUAAACAUUUGUUGACAUGACUAUCCUGGUUUAUGCUGCAAUGUCUAGACAGCAUGCCAAAGUCUCAUUUCAAAGAACUAUUUCCAGAGACAAAAUUCUAAUUUUACUUGAAUUUAAUCAUUGUAUUUGUAUAUAUAACAAUAACAGUACCAAUUUUUCUGCACCAGAUGCGCAUUUUGACAAUACAUGUCUCUUCAGUGAUGCUCGUGGCCAAAAUAUUUG